rnacentral:lncRNA from 1 species
AUGUUUGAAGGGUGCGCUGUAGCUGAAGGCGUUACACUAGGCAAAGCACCUUGCAAGGAUGACAUAGAAGGAAAUGUUGGGCUUUGGAGAGAGGGAAUGGUUGUGAGGUGGAGAGGAGGCAGCAGUGGUGUCUCACGAAGGUUGUUUGAAGGUGGUGAUGACCGAAGGAAAAAUUUAACCAUUCUGGGUAAUGUUUGGAGCAGUUUAUUCUGGACAGCAAGCAAACUACAGUUUUGGGCAUUAUUUUUGGACUGA